GCCAGGCAUAGUGGCAUAGGCCUGUAAUCCCAGUGGCUCAGGAGGCUGAGGCAGGAGGAUUGCAAGUUCAAAGCCAGCCUCAGGAACUUAGAGAGGUCCUAAAGCAACUCAGCAAGACCCUGUCUCUA
rnacentral:sRNA from 1 species